AAAGCUUACUUAAGAGGUCAAAUAACCCAGGACACUGUACAUUACUGCAUUCUAUGUCCUGAGUCAAAUAAAUCGGAAUGGUUGCUUGUGAGCAACUUUUAUAAAUUAGGAUGUGUUAGCUGAGGUAACAUAUGUGAUUUUGAAUGGUAGAUGAGAGUGUGACUUGAGGAAUGUAUGGUUUGGAUCUUGGACUAGUACAUAAGUAACCUACAUCACUUAUUCAUUGAACCGUAGAAAUAACCUUUGUAUGCAUAGUUUAUGUGAUGGAUCCACCACCUCCUUCUCCAACCACACCGUUGCUCAGACCAGCUCCCAAUGGAGGAGGAUUCUUAGAUACAUGCUUAUGGUUUCUGUGCUGCUGCGGUCUAUUUAGGUGCUGUUUUCCUCCCCUCUUCGAGUCAGGCCCUCCUCCACUCUAGACUCCAUAAAAUGUACUUUAGGAUUUUCAUUGUUACUGGCUAUGUAUUUAACUUUUUCAAGAGACAACCUUGCUACUUGCUUUGUAAGAAGGCAUAAACUAAAUUUGUUUCAGGCAAAGUCUGUUUACUGUAAUA